UCGAGAUGCCUAAAAAGCAUUUCAUAGCAAGGGCCGGGCAAGACCGGUGCCAGCCGCCGCGGUAACACCGGCGGCUCGAGUGGUAACCGUUAUUAUUGGGUCUAAAGGGUCUGUAGCCGGCCGGAUAAGUCUCUUGAGAAAUCUGGCAGCUUAACUGUCAGGCUUUCAGGAGAUACUGUCUGGCUCGAGGCCGGGAGAGGUGAGAGGUACUUCAGGGGUAGGGGUGAAAUCUUGUAAUCCUUGAAGGACCACCAGUGGCGAAGGCGUCUCACCAGAACGGACCUGACGGCAAGGGACGAAAGCUAGGGGCACGAACCGGAUUAGAUACCCGGGUAGUCCUAGCCGUAAACGAUACUCGCUAGGUGUCGGCCACGGUGCGACCGUUGUCGGUGCCGUAGGGAAGCCGUGAAGCGAGCCACCUGGGAAGUACGGCCGCAAGGCUGAAACUUAAAGGAAUUGGCGGGGGAGCACCACAACGGGUGGAGCUUGCGGUUUAAUUGGAUUCAACGCCGGG
rnacentral:rRNA from 1 species